rnacentral:rRNA from 1 species
CCUACGGGUGGCAGCAGUGAGGAAUAUUGGUCAAUGGGCGCGAGCCUGAACCAGCCAAGUAGCGUGAAGGUUGACUGCCCUACGGGUUGUAAACUUCUUUUAUAAAGGAAUAAAGUGAGGCACGUGUGCCUUUUUGUAUGUACUUUAUGAAUAAGGACCGGCUAACUCCGUGCCAGCAGCCGCGGUAAUACGGAGGAUCCGGGCGUUAUCCGGAUUUAUUGGGUUUAAAGGGAGCGUAGAUGGGAUGUUAAGUCAGGUGUGAAAGUGUGCGGCUCAACCGUAAAAUUGCAAUUGAUACUGGCAGCCUUGAGUGCAGGUGAGGUAGGCGGAAUUCGUGGUGUAGCGGUGAAAUGCUUAGAUAUCACGAAGAACUCCGAUUGCGAAGGCAGCAUACUAAACCGCCACUGACAUUGAUGCUCGAAAGUGUGGGUAUCAAACAGGAUUAGAUACCCUAGUAGUC